GGUAGUAUACCUUCUUCGGUGGUGGUGGUGAGUAGACGGGAGGUGGGUAGUACACCUUCUUCGGUGGUGGUGGUGAGUAGACGGGAGGUGGGUAGUACACCUUCUUCGGUGGUGGUGGUGAGUAGACGGGAGGUGGGUAGUAUACCUUCUUUGGCGGUGGUGGUGAGUAGACUGGUGGUGGGUAGUAUACUUUCUUUGGUGGUGGAGGAGACUUAUAGACGGGUGGUGGAUAGUAUACCUUCUUGGGAGGUGGGGGAGACUUGUAGACUGGAGGUGGGUAGUAUACCUUCUUUGGUGGUGGAGGAGACUUAUAGACGGGAGGAGGGUAGUAUACCUUCUUGGGAGGUGGGGGAGACUUGUAGACGGGAGGUGGGUAGUACACCUUCUUGGGAGGUGGGGGAGACUUGUAGACGGGAGGUGGGUAGUACACCUUCUUGGGAGGCGGGGGAGACUUGUAGACGGGAGGUGGGUAAUACACCUUCUUAGGUGGCGGAGGAGACUUGUAGACGGGAGGUGGGUAAUAAACCUUCUUGGGUGGCGGAGGAGACUUGUAGACAGGAGGUGGGUAAUACACCUUCUUUGGUGGUGGUGGAGAGUAAACUGGUGGUGGAUAGUAAACCUUCUUGGGUGGUGGUGGAGAGUGAUACACUGGAGGUGGAUAGUAUGAUUUCUUGGGUGGUGGAGGAGAAUGGUAUACUGGAG
rnacentral:lncRNA from 1 species